UAAGUGGUGUUUGUAGUUCUUGGUAGUUAUCUUGGUGUAUUUUCUUACAUAAGUGGAACUUGAAAGCAGAACCUGCAAGCAAUUUCAUUGCCGGGAGAAUGCUGCAACAUUUAAACCACACCGCAGAGCAGACAGGAUCAUUUUCAUUUCAUGUCCUUCUCUAUCUGAGUGUGAACUGAGCCGUUUACAGGAAACCUUAUUGACAUUCUCCCCAGUGACGAGCGUUGGCGUAUUCCUUUAGCGCUACAGAACGGGCCUGUUUUUGAGACAUCUCAGGCUACACUACAAUGGGCCAUAGAAACCCAAUGAGACACAGCAGGCUGACUUCCACUGACCACGCUGAGCUGAUGGCUAUUAGUUCUCUGUGUAGAGCUAAAGGUGUUCUCACUACAUAAGUAACAGUCACAUGAAUAGAAACUGAACUUUUACAUAUGUAUCCCACGCUUCAGGGUGAUCCUUACAUGUUUAAUGGAAUGAGAAAAGACACCCAGGGGUUUCGUUUAGAACUCCCCAAACUCUGUUGAGGUUCUGGAAUUACAACGGCUCUUCUGGUGUCUGGAAUUACAACGGCUCUUCUGGUGUCUGGAAUUACAACGGCUCUUCUGGUGUCUGGAAUUACAACGGCUCUUCUGGUGUCUGGAAUUACAACGGCUCUUCUGGUGUCUGGAAUUACAACGGCUCUUCUGGUGUCUGGAAUUACAACGGCUCUUCUGGUGUCUGGAAUUACAACGGCUCUUCUGGUGUCUGGAAUUACAACGGCUCUUCUGGUGUCUGGAAUUACAACGGCUCUUCUGGUGUCUGGAAUUACAACGGCUCUUCUGGUGUCUGGAAUUACAACGGCUCUUCUGGUGUCUGGAAUUACAACGGCUCUUCUGGUGUCUGGAAUUACAACGGCUCUUCUGGUGUCUGGAAUUACAACGGCUCUUCUGGUGUCUGGAAUUACAACGGCUCUUCUGGUGUCUGGAAUUACAACGGCUCUUCUGGUGUCUGGAAUUACAACGGCUCUUCUGGUGUCUGGAAUUACAACGGCUCUUCUGGUGUCUGGAAUUACAACGGCUCUUCUGGUGUCUGGAAUUACAACGGCUCUUCUGGUGUCUGGAAUUACAACGGCUCUUCUGGUGUCUGGAAUUUUUUUUGUUAGUUUUCUUCUGACUCUCUUGACAGAGUUGGACAUGAAUGUAUGUGUUGGCUAAAGCUUUUUGUUUGAUUUGAAAAUACAGCUUGUCAUGUGUUGCUGAAAGAGUUUAAAAUGUUGUACAUAGCAGGAAAGUCAUCCUGCAACAGGUUGAUCAAAUUAAGAUCCUACAUCUGUAUUGGGCAAUGAUUGAACAAUGAACUAUAUUUGAACUCACUAGCAGCUGCAAGUUCCAAAUACAUACUGUUGAUGACUGUUGUAGAUUAUUCUAAGGUUGCUAUGUACCGUAUAUCUUAGGUCAGCUAACAGUCAAUAGCCUUCCACACUGAGAGUUUAUUCUGUUUGUUUGUCAAUAUUAUUCAUUUCAAUGUCAAGAGUAGAGGACAGGGGAAUGUAUGUUGGCUUCCAAUUAGCCCUACUUACUGGACAUAGACGCCAUUUCAACUUCUAGUUUUGAUUUACAUUUGUUUGAGUUAUCAAGAAAUGUAAAUUCAAGGUGAAAUCAUGUCAUUGCAUGAAAACAAUAGGAAAUUCCCUUUUACGUUGAUGACUUUGACUCAACAUCAUCACAUAUCAUUUUUGUUGUUGAAAUGAUUCAAAAACCAUGUUGAUUCAACCAGUUCAGCAGAGAGGAAGUGGUGAGGUUGGAAAAUAACACUUAAUGCUUAUUUAGCUAGUGAGGCUAUAGCUAUAGGGUUCUUGCAUAUAUAUAUAUGGUACUGUAUAUAUGGUAAUGUAUAUAUGCUAAUUAAUUACUUAAAGAUCAUACAAUGUGAUUGUCUGGAUUUUUGUUUUAGAUUCCGUCUCUCACAGUUGAAGUGUACCUAUGAUAAAAAUGGCAGGCCUCUACAUGCUUUGUAAGUAGGAAAACCUGCAAAAUUGGCAGUGUAUCAAAUACUUGUUCUCCCCACUGUAUAUAUAUAUAUAACCAGUACCAGUCAAAACUUUGGACACACCUACUCAUUCCAGGCUUUUUCUUUAUUUGUACUAUUUUCUACAUUGUAGAAUAAUAGUGAAGACAUCAAAACUAUGAAAUAACACAUGGAAUCAUAUAGUAACCAAAAAAUAUAUUUUAUAUUCUUCAAAGUAGCCACCAACUCCAAAUAGGCCUUGAUGACAGCUUGGCACACUCUUGGCAUUGUCUCAACCAGCUUCACCUGGAAUGCUUUUCCAAUGGUCUUGAAGGAGUUCCCACAAAUGCUGAGCACUUGGCUGCUUUUCCUUCACUCUGCGGUCCAAUUAAUCUCAAACCAUCUCAGUUGGGUUGGGGUCGGGUGAUUGUAAAGACCAGUUCAUCUGAUGCAGCACUCCAUCUCUCUCCUUCUUGAUCAAAUAGCCCUUACACAGCCUGGAGGUGUGUUGGGUUAUUGUCCUGUUGAAAAACAAAUGAUAGUCCCACUAAGCGUAAACCAGAUGGGAUGGCGAUUGUUGCAUAAUUCUGUGGUAGCAAUGCUGGUUAAGUGUGCCUUGAAUUCUAUAUAAAUCACCAACAGUGUCACCAGCAAAUCACCAUCACACCUCCUCCUCCAUGCUUCACGGUGGGAACCACACAUGCAGAGAUCAUCCGUUCACCAACUCUGCGUCUCACAAAGAUACGGCGGUUAGAACCAAAAAUCUCAAAUUUGGACUUCCAAUGGUCUAAUGUCCAUUUUUCGUAUUUCCUGGCCCAAGCAAGUCUCUUCUUGUUAUUGGUGUCCUUUAGUAGUGGUUUCUUUGCAGCAAUUCAACCACGAAGGCCUGAUUCAUGCAGUUACCUCUGAACAGUUGAUGUUGAGAUGUGUCUGUACUUGAACUAUGUGAAGCAUUUAUUUGGGCUUCAAUUUCUGAGGCGGGUAAUUCUAAUGAACUUUUCCUCUGCAGCAGAGGUAACUAUGGGUCUCCCUUUUCUGUGGCGGUCCUCAUGAGAGACAGUUUCAUCAUAGCGCUUGAUUGUUUUUGUGACUGCACAUGAAGAAACUUUUAAAGUUGGUGAAAUUUUCCAGAUUGACUGACCUUUAUGUCUUAAAGUAAUGAUGUACUGUUGUUUCUCUUUGCUUAUUUGAGAUGUUCUUGCCAUAAUAUGGACGUGGUCUUUCUCAAACCAAGCUGCUUACCUAUUGCAGAUUCAGUCUUCCCAGCCUGGUGCAGGUCUACAAUUUUGUUUCUGGUGUCCUUUGACAGCUCUUUGGUCUUGGCCAUAGUGAAGUUUGGAGUGUGACUGUUUGAGGUUGUGGACAGGUGUCUUUUAUACUGAUAACAAGUUCAAACAGGUGCCAUUAAUACAGGUAACGAGUGGAGGACAGAGGAGCCUCUUAAAAGAAGAAGUUACAGGUCUGUGAGAGCCAGAAAUCUUGCUUGUUUGUAGAUGACCAAAUACUUAUUUUCCACCAUAAUUUGCAAAUAAAUUCAUAAAAAAAUCUUACAA